rnacentral:tRNA from 1 species
GGGACGUUGUUGUAGUGGUAGCAUGGCUGGUUGGAUGGAAGGAGUUUUUUCAAGAUUUUCACCUUCAGUGUAGGCCAGAGGGGGCAGGUUCGAUUCCUGCACGUCGCA